GUAGAGCAUUUUGCUGCUGGCAGGCCAGGCAGCAACAUUGCUUAGCUGCAAGGCAGCUGGGAUCAUCCUGGAAGUAAGGGAGGAGCUGUAGGGGAUGGCUAGGAGACUCCUGGUCCUCCCUUUCCUCCCUGUGGCCCUGAGUGAGGGGGCAGUGUGGAGCCCCACUGAGGGGGUGGCCCCAAGUGAGGGUCAGACAUCUGGAGCACCGAGUGAGGGGAGUUGGCCAAGGCCUUCAGACUGAAGUGUAGGAAAGAGGGAGAAGAAGAAAAAAAGCUCGCUGCCUAAAAGAUAUAGCUUAUUGCUGGACUACCUCAUAUGGUAUACAGUUCCCAACCAUUUCUGGAAAGCUUCUAACAGUCCCUUAUACCAGAAGAACCAGAAGUAAGAAUUGCUGGCAGCUUGGACAUGCAUGGAGGAGAGCUGAUAAGUUUGGAAAACUAGGAGGAUGGUGGUGUCAAAAAAAGAAAAGAAAAGAGAAAUAGCUCAGGUUUUUGUAUAGCUUAAGUUAUACCUGGCAGAAUACUAAUGAGUACUGGAUAUUAGAGGAACAGGUAGGCAGACUGAACUGCAGAAGCUGAGGAUAGUUAGAUUUGUAAGGCAUCAGCACAGAUGUGGUAUUUAAAACCAUGAGAGUUAGAUAAAGAGGCCCCAGGAUACAGAUGCAAGGGGAGGAAAAAAGAAUGCAAAGACAAAACUCUAAGGGACCUCCUAUAGAAAGAAAAGGAGAAGCUACUGAAUGGGAAUCAGGAGAAGAGUGGUCACAAAGGCAAGUGAGAAAACGGGUGCUAAAUGGAAGGGAAUGACUUUAGAGAAUAGCAGAGAGAUAUAGAGGCUGCACAUACACUGAGGAGUAGACCUACCCAAGCUGGCUUCCAUCUAUUCAGCUUGGAUUUCAACAAGAGUAAAGCUAGAGCAGCACAAGCUUAAGCUGCCAAAUAAGUACCCAGAGUCUUAGAUGGGCCUCUGCAGCCCACAAUGAAACCCAUGCCACCCAGGCUUCACUGUUGUUAGUACUCAUGUCUGUGCACGCUUGUGUGUGCUGCAGUGUAGAUCGGAAUCUGAGCUAACUAAAUUAAAAAUGGUUAGGGUAAGUCUAAACAUGCUGCUAUCAUACCACCUGAGUGCAGCAAAGAGAAACAGACUCAGCCAGACUUGGCUCACUAAAGCUUGACUGCUGCAUAUUGUAUUUAUGUAUCUGCCAUCAUGAAUAAUAACUUGAAAUACAGUGCAUGUAUAAUUAUUUGAGUAACUAGA